UACGUAGGUGGCGAGCGUUGUCCGGAAUUACUGGGUGUAAAGCGCGUGUAGGCGGGAGGCCAAGUCUGUGGUGAAAUCGCUCGGCUUAACUGGGCGGGGUCCAUGGAAACUGGUCACCUGGAGGUCGGUAGAGGCAAGUGGAAUUCCCGGUGUAGUGGUGAAAUGCGUAGAGAUCGGGAGGAACACCAGUGGCGAAGGCGGCUUGCUGGGCCGGACCUGACGCUGAGGCGCGAAAGCUAGGGGAGCAAACAGGG
rnacentral:rRNA from 1 species